CUACAGUCCGCCGCCCCCCAGCCCCAGCCUCGCCUGGACUGACGCCCGGCCCGGAGCCAGAGUGAGGCGGAGGAAAGUUAAUCAUGAUGGUGGACGCAGGUGUCUGUGACAGGUGGCGCCCGAACAGGGACUCAGGGAGUCUGAAAGAGUGGCUUUCCCACUGGCGAGUAGCCGUGAAACAAGGUGGGCUGUUUGGCCAACAGCCAUAACAAGGAGUGGCUCCAGCCGUCUGAAACAAGAUGGUCAACAGGUUGCCUGAAAGAAGAUGGCCCACUGUUUGAAAGAAAACGGCAAACAGGGAGCCAAGAUGGUGGAGUGAACAGGUAGUCACUGUCACUACCAACCUCUGAAAACCUGGAAAAUAU